GUGGCGGGGCCGGCCGCGGGCGGGACGGACGGACGUGCCCUGCCCAGCGCGGGGGGCUCGGCUGGGCCCGGCGGGUUCGCCCUGCCGCUCUGAGCCCGGGGCGGGGACAGAGCGGCGCCCAGGCCCAGCUUCUCCUCAGCGCCGCCUGUGCUGGGGGGCGCGGGCCGGCCCGUGCCUCGCACCUCCGGGCCCCGGGACUCUCCACAGGCGCGGCAGGCUGGGCCUGCCUCAUGGCGGGUCGUCACCGGUGCCGGCCCCGCCUCAGCAUAAACCCCCGGUGCCUGUGCUGAGGGCUGCAGCAGGCGGGGUCUCCCCAGCUGAGUGGCGGCCGCUGCCGUGCUGGCCGUGCUUCCCCCGGGCUUCUCGGGGAACAGCUGCCUGCUCCACCGCACCGGCUUUCCUGUGAGCACCGUGUGUGCCGGCUGGCUGCGGGACUCCCCUGAAACCACCUCAGCACCCUUUGCUCAAGUCCACCGUCCCAGGCAGCGCUGAAACCUGGGGGGCCGUUGGAGCCAGGCCGGCAUAUGCCCGGAGGAGCGGUGCCAGGGCAGCGGCUCCCUGCAUUAUCCAGUGCUGGCCAGGAGGAGGGAAGAUACAAGUGAAUCAGCCCUCUGCUGCUGCCAAAUGCUUUCUGGCUCCCAGACACCAGGAUCAAAUGUUGUGGGAAGCAAGCACAUAACAGCUGUCAGAGCAAAUGAUGGUGGCGUAAGUGCAGGCCCGUGCCAGUCACUGGCCCCUUUUUUUUCCACACCCAGCAAUGCUCCUCAGGCCUCUUAAGCUGCUUUGGCUGAGUGUCAGGGGGUGGGGGUGGGGGUGAGGGAGGAGCAAGUGAGCUACCCACAAAUGACAUAGUCCAGCUCAUAUAUAUAGAAAAAAAAAGCCACACAAAACUAAAAAACUUUUAUUUGACAACAGAAGGACAAACAAAAAAGAUAUUUACAGUAGUUUUUUGCUCCAUAAAUUUCAUUCCAAUAAUCCCUGCCCUCCCCACUCUUUCUGGUCCAUCCCCAGGGCAGCAACACCGGACCGUGGCACAGGUGCAGCUGUAGCACUCCUGCCCAGGGGGAGGAAACCACUUUGGUUUGGCUGGGGCAAAAUAAAGGGAGGAGACUAAAAAGCCUCUCCCUCCCCUGGGGGAGGAAACAGAACUGCAGUGGGGUGACAGGGGAAGGGCUACCUAGUAAUAAGGGAGGGGGUUCUAAAAUUCAGGGCUUUCCCCAGAAAGGAGGCAGAGGGCAAAGGCUGGACAUAAAAUGGAACUGGGGGAGAUGAGGAAGGGGAUGGUCACAGCCACAUGACGAGCAUCCACCUGACAUGGUGCCCGCUGCCUAGCCAGGUAGUGCCAGAGCUGGAGCCAUCCCUGCACUGCACAGGGGCAGCCAGCCCACAGGACGCACUAUUGGCAAGCCCUCCUGCAUCGCCGUGCCAGCACUCCCUGCCACCUUCUCUCUGAAGAAGAAAAAGAGGGAAUGAGGGGGGGGAAAACACUGGUCCCCAAAAUCAGUGCUUUUCCCUUCCAGGCCCCAUCAUCCUCCAGUGUGCUGCUCUCCCAGCACUGCUGGCUCCAGCCCCUGCACAGCACCAGAUCCUGUGGAGGUUAUUAUCUCUAGUCAUGCAAUUUAAUAAUCAGGCUAAUUACCUAGGAUUAGUGUUUCUCAGGAUAGAUAACAUAGGUGCGUACGUAGCGCUAUUUAACUUACAUUUUACAGUGAAACAGCAGUUAUCUCAGUCCCAGGACCAGCGCAGCACCCAGGCUCAGCGACAGCAAGCUAUGCUAGGCUAGGGCUUGCCCUAGAGACGGAAUAGCACCCCCAGGCCAGGCUGGGGGAGCCCCGACAGCUCCCAGCAGUCACCAGCUUGUCACUAGAGGUCACCAGUACCACACCACCGGGCAUAGCCACACUCAGCCCUGGAGAGUGAGAGCAGGGCGGGGGGCGGAACAGGGAGCAAGAGGACUCGAUCCCUCCGCGUUCCCAGGGCAGCUCAUCCGCUCUUGGCCGAUGAGACAACUCUGCUUUCCAAUAACCGUGGUCUGCAGGCUGCGAGCGCUGCACUUGUAGAACGCACAGGCCCGUACCCACAAUGCACCUCUUUCCAAAUGUUUUUGGGUUUGUUUGGGGGUUUUUUGUUUGUUUUUUUUUUUUUUAAAUAGAAAAUAAAGACGUUGGAUACAAAAUUUCACAGUCUCAGCUUUGCGUCCACCCAGCAGCAGCCUACUGUCAGCGACUCGCAGGCUCUGCAAUGCGCUCUCUGUUCUGGGACACAACGUGCACAUAUUCAGCAGGAACUCAUGAGAAACACGGGGAAGUUGUGGAAAUGCUUAUAGAAGAAAAAAAAUCAUAUAAUAAAUCACAAUUAAAGGGGAAAUGUCUCAACAGAAAAAACUGCUAAACAGCACCAUAGAGAUUUCUACUGGCAGCAUCUGUAACACCCUAAGGCAGAGGAGGAGGGUCCCCUGUUUUCUGUGUGAAAAAAAGGCCACAGACUUCAGGUUUCCAGUUCAUCUGUCCUUGGCCCUUCCCUGGGCAAGGCAGGGCUCCUGGCCCGCACAAGGUGCCAGAACGGCCCUCCACAAACAAAAGGAGGAAAGGGGUGGGG